GGCAGGUGAGGUGUGGGAGACGGGACUAUUCUGGCAGGUGAGGUGUGGGAGACGGGACUGAUCUGGCAGGUGAGAGGUGGGAGACGGGACUGAUCUGGCAGGUGAGGUGUGGGAGACGGGACUGAUCUGGCAGGUGAGGUGUGGGAGACGGGACUGAUCUGGCAGGUGAGGUGUGGGAGACGGGACUGAUCUGGCAGGUGAGGUGUGGGAGAAGGGACUGAUCUGGCAGGUGAGGUGUGGGACAAGGGACUAUUCUGGCAGAUGAGGUGUGGGAGACGGGACUGAUCUGGCAGGUGAGGUGUGGGAGAAGGGACUAUUCUGGCAG
ensembl:lncRNA